AUUGAACGCUGGCGGCAGGCCUAACACAUGCAAGUCGAGCGGAUGAAGGGAGCUUGCUCCUGGAUUCAGCGGCGGACGGGUGAGUAAUGCCUAGGAAUCUGCCUGGUAGUGGGGGAUAACGUCCGGAAACGGGCGCUAAUACCGCAUACGUCCUGAGGGAGGAAGUGGGGGAUCUUCGGACCUCACGCUAUCAGAUGAGCCUAGGUCGGAUUAGCUAGUUGGUGGGGUAAGGUCCUGCCAAGGCGACGAUCCGUAACUGGUCUGAGAGGAUGAUCAGUCACACUGGAACUGAGACACGGUCCAGACUCCUACGGGAGGAAGCAGUGGGGAAUAUUGGACAAUGGGCGAAAGCCUGAUCCAGCCAUGCCGCGUGUGUGAAGAAGGUCUUCGGAUUGUAAAGCACUUUAAGUUGGGAGGAAGGGCAGUAAGUUAAUACCUUGCUGUUUUGACGUUACCAACAGAAUAAGCACCGGCUAACUUCGUG
rnacentral:rRNA from 1 species